CCCACAGGUGUGUCGCAUUAGAGGACAUGAAAGCUUGGCAAAGUGCUCUGAUUCAAACGAUGGGUGGGGGCCGACAUCCGGGCAACUGAGCUACAUACGGGUUCUUCGAGCCAUAGCAACCAGACUGGCGUUGAAAACAAACCGUUGCCAUUACUCUUUAACCUGUCGACCUACGCUGGUUAAACCCGUCAUUCUGCCUCCAAAAUGCCGAAAAACGGUGUUGUUUUUGGUUGUGCUAACCACAACUGGAAACAGGGAAAACAAAGGUUGUAUUUUGUUCUGCCAAAGCGUGAUGAAAGCCCACAGAGACGAGACAAAUGGCUCGCAGCUUUACACUGGGAAAACGAGGACGGUUCUCACUGGAGUCCCCCAAAGUCCCGGGUCGUGUGUUCGGAUCACUUCGUUUCUGGUAAAUAUAAGGAACAAAAAUCCACCUUCUUAACCACAACUUGGCUAUACCGUCCGUGCUAAUGUUGUACUUGUUGAAUUUGUACCUUAUAACGUUCGACAGCUGAAGUUGUUGUUGUACAAAAAUAACAUGCGGUAUAUACUAUAUAGUCUAUAGCCUAGCUAGCUAUUUUCGAAAACCGGACAACGAGAGGAUACCAAAGGCAGCGUUCAGAUGGACACCACCGGGAAAACGUAAGCCAGGGCGGCCAAAGAACACCUGGCGAAGAACAGUUGAAGGGGAGCUGAAAGAGAAGAAGCUUACAUGGGGCGAGGCACAGCGACGAGCACAGCAGCGAGAUGAAUGGCGUCGAGUCGUCGAAGCCUUAUUUCCCAUCCAGGAAGAAGAGGAUUAAGUUAAGUAAUAUACUAUAUAGUAUAUAGCCUAGCUAGCUAUUUUCGAAAACCGGUUUCGUUUAAACUUGCACUUAACAGUUUGGUUUUUAAAAACCAAUAAACCCUAUAAUUUUCAUGUUGCCAUUCAAUACAUGUAGCCCUCAAAUCUCUCAAUAUUUUAUACACUAACACUUGAUCUUGUUGUUGAUCACUUCCGCGUCUCUUUCUUAGUAGCGCGCAGGCUAAGCUAACUAGCAAGCUAAGCUAAGCCCGAGAAGCUUUAAAGUUCACUGAGACAAGUCUGACGCAAAUAAUACAUUUUCGUUUUUUCACACGAUAUGCGAAAAUGAAGGAUUUAACGCCGACUUCCAAGCCACAACGCUCGUUAAAUGCUUUUUCUGUCAAUGCUGUGUUCGCUGUGAGCUGCUUUGUUUUCAACGAAUUCCCGGUUGCUAGAGGAUUGGUAGGCGGAAGUGACGUAGGUCCGCCCUCACCCAAUAAGUGCUCUGAUUCAAACAUUAGACUUAAAUAAGUGCUCUGAUGAAAAUAUUCGACUUAAAUAAGUGUUUGAUGGAGCAGAGAGGCUUGGCAUAAACUUUUCAGCACGUUUUUAUUUGUCACAUUGAAUACAAAAUAUAGUAGAAAUAAAGACACAGACAUAAUAAGUGUAAAAGAAUAGCCUCUGCAAGGUCACAGACAUAAAAAUGCUAAAAAUAAAAUACAAAUGAACAACAAAAAACAUCACUUUCCAUUACUGCAACUAACUGCAGUGGUCUCUUGACAACAUUCUAGUCAUGAUUGUAUGUACACAACUUUAAAAAAGAGCAAUUCUUAACAGAUCUACCGCCAGGUGCAUAUAAAAGUCACAAGUACGUCGGACUUAAACUAGUGCUAAUACAAAAAGUAUAUCAAACAUUUAGGCACACGUAAUCUGCACGUGUGCUUGCAGAUACUUAACAUAUACCAAAACAAUGGGAGAGGGACCAGCCUGGUCCAAAAUAAUGCCAUCACGUCGUCGAUGUUAAGUGGACCCCGACUUAAACAAGUUGAACAACUUAUUGGGGUGUUACCAUUUAGUGGUCAAUUGUACGGAUUAUGUACUGUACUGUGCAAUCUACUAAUAAAAGUCUCAGUCAAUCAAUGUUGACAAACUGUCACAUACUUGCCAACCCUCACGAUUUUCCCGGGAGAGUCCCGAAUUUCAGUGCCCCUCCCGAAAAUCUCCCGGGGCAACCAUUCUCACGAAUUUCUCCCGAUUUCCACCCGGACAACAAUAUUGGGGGCGUGAAUUUAGCGUCCUCUCUCACCUGAAACCUUCACCCUUUAACGGCCGCAUGCUGUCCUCAGUGACUGCGGACGUGACUGAUUACAGCUAUAUAUAUAUAUAUAUAUAUAUAUACAUAUAUAUAUAUAUAUAUAUAUAUACAUAUAUAUAUAUAUAUAUAUAUAUAUAUAUAUAUAUAUAUGGGUAGUAACACGCUACAUUUACUCCGUUACAUCUACUUGAGUAACUUUUGGGAUAAAUUGUACUUCUAAGAGUAGUUUUAAUGCAACAUACUUUUACUUGAGUAUAUUUAUAGAGAAGAAACGCUACUUUUACUCCGCUCCAUUUAUCUACAUUCAGCUCGCUACUCGCUACUGAUUUUUAUCCAUCUGUUAAUGCACGCUUUGUUUGUUUUGCUUUGUCAGACAGACCUUCAAAGUAGGAUCUAUCGCAUGCCUACGUUUCACCAAUCAGAUGCAGUCACUGGUGACGUUUGACCGCCUGGUCAUGUGACUGCCGCUGAAACUUAAACAUAAAGUUUCAGCGGCAAAACAACAACAAGCUUAAGCUUACAUGAACUCAAUGUCAAAUUUGAGGAAGCACAUGGCGUGGUUUCAAGUUUCCAGACCCGAGCGGCCAUUUGGCAAGGUUACAGUAUAUAUUGUUUGGCCACCUCGUAAAAUGAGGCUACAAAAUAAGCGCGGCACAGGCAGCGGGGUGGAUGUGCAGUGCGUGUGAUUGGCAUGGACCUGAGAAACGCAGGCUCGGUUUAAAAGGAGGCGGCCCGGAUUUCCCUUGGAAAGUGUUUUUGGUGCAUUGGAACCUGGCAGCAGUUAUCGGGGCGAACCCCGGUGUAGUCAGAGUUGCUGCAGGCCACUUUGUUGCAGUUGCUGGUGUAUUGGACGUCCGGUCUGUCCUUCUCGGACGGCUUGGUCUUCCAGCAGGGAAGCGUGAGCACGGAGAAGACCAGCGCUCCCAGCAGCACGCUGCUCCCACUGAAGUAGAACGCCAUGUCAUAAGACUGGGUCCAGUCAAAGAACCACCCUAAGAAGUGUUGAAAAGACAAGAGGAUAAGAAGCUUAUGCGACUCACAUGAGCAUCAUCAUCAUCAUCAUCAUCAUCAUCAAACGCUUACCCACGACAAUCCCGUAGGAGAAGAUGAGGAAGUGGACGCUGGGAGCGAAGGCGCUGAGCAUCAGGCCGCCCGCCACCAUCACGCCGCUGAAGACGGUGACGGGGCGAGCGCCAAAGUUGUCCACGCAGGCGCUGCAGAUGGGACCUGGAGGAGGAGGAGGAGGAGGAGGAGGAGCAAUCACAAAUACUUGAUUAAUCCCCCAAAUGUUCAGCACAAGACAAAAGCCUUCACAUGUUGAGACGUUUUGUGAGCGACACCUCAUUUAGGGUGUUCCAAUAAGACCACCAGGACCCAGGACAUGUGUCCAAUAAGAUCAUGUGUCCAAUAAGACCACCAGGACCCAGGACAUGUGUCCAAUAAGACCACCAGGACCCAGGACAUGUGUCCAAUAAGAUCAUGUGUCCAAUAAGACCACCAGGACCCAGGACAUGUGCUCAAUAAGACCAUGUGUCCAAUAAGACCACCAGGACCCAGGACACGUGUCCAAUAAGACCACCAGGACCCAGGACAUGUGUCCAAUAACACCACCAGGACCCAGGACAUGUGUCCAAUAAGAUCAUGUGUCCAAUAAGACCACCAGGACCCAGGACACAUGUCCAAUAAGACCACCAGGACCCAGGACAUGUGUCCAAUAAGACCAUGUGUCCAAUAAGACCACCAGGACCCAGGACCCAGGUCCAAUAAGACCACCAGGACCCAGGACACGUGUCCAAUAAGACCACCAGGACCCAGGUCCAAUAAGACCACCAGGACCCAGGACACGUCGGCCUGCUCAGGAUCACCUGAGUCAGUCCUGCUGAGGCUGAAAUGUCAGCCAUGUUGGCCUUCAUGUUUGCUUUUAUCUUUUAGAAUCAUAUUAGUUGCCGCUUAUGUUUUCAUACAAACUACAACUUCAUGUUUCAUGUUUAUGUUCUUUAGAAAAAUACUAGCUGCAGCUAAUGUUUUAAUUUAAAAACUACAACUUCCUGUUUCAUGUUUGUUUUAAAAAUAUAUAUGAUUAGUUGCAGCUAAUGUUUUCCUUCAAACUACAACUUCCUGUUUCAUGAUUAUGUUUUUGAGUAAUAAUAUUAGCUGCAGCUCAUGGUUUUAUUCAAACUACAACUUCCUGUUUCAUGUUUGUUAGGUUUAAAAAUAUAUAUUAGUUGCAGCUUAAAGUUUUCAUACAAACUACAACUUCCUGUUUCAUGUUUGUUUUAAAAUAUAUUUUUAGCUGCAGUUAAUGUUUCAUUCUAACUACAACUUCCUGUUUACUACUAGAAAUAUCUACCUGAAUAUUCAAUGUAAGGCCAAUAUUAUUCCAAAAACAUGCACAUAGUUAGACUGAAAUUAAAAAUAAUGAAUUGUCUUAUUAUAAAACAGAAACAAUGUAUCCCACCAGGCAUUGUAUUGUCUUCGAGCGCAGUCGCUCU